rnacentral:tRNA from 1 species
UCCCUGGUAGCUCAGCAGUUAAAGCAUCUGCCUGCAAUGCAGGAGACCCAGGUUUGAUCCCUGGGUUGGGAA